rnacentral:sRNA from 1 species
CUGAUUGGACUGAUAGGUGGAGCAAUAUCCUAGUCGGGAUCCAUUUUCUUGAAGACGGGCCUAAAAAUUCGUCAAGGGCACAUCGAUGAAGUUCCUGGUGCUGGCUGUCGACGCCCAGUUGGGGGUUGGUGCUGGGAGUUAAGGGGGCGGGGCGAUCUACAAUGGCAUGUAGGCGUGGACCCUACCCCCGCGGAGACCCAAGUGCGUGGUUUUUGCUAACGGGCAAAAGGUACGGCUUGGGGUAGAAACCUGUAGCUUGGUAUGUAAAAGUGCUAGGUGCAGUGUAGCCUGCCUUGAGCGGUAUUAGCGGGAUGUAACACAUAAGUACUGUAUGUUGAAGGGCCCUUUGGCAUACUGUAUGUUACAGAAGCUUUUACUGCAAAAGAGGAUAGAGAUAAUCGGAACCGCAGAAGAAAAUUCCUAGGCUGUUCAUCUUUGAUGAGAUUUAUCAGGGAUUAAAGUGCGUACUAAACGGCAAUCUAGCACUAUUUACGGUAACGAAAUAGAGCAGCCCUUAAAGGGAAACCGCUAUUGUGGUAACACAUAGUGAGCUGUUGGGAAAACCAGCUGGACCUAAGACGCAACAUUUACUUGAUAAAUCUCCAUCUAUCAGUACUGGUUA